rnacentral:rRNA from 1 species
UAACCUGCCCAAGAGAUCGGGAUAACACCUGGAAACAGAUGCUAAUACCGGAUAANAACAGAUGAUGCCUAUCAACUGUUUAAAAGAUGGUUCUGCUAUCACUCUUGGAUGGACCUGCGGUGCAUUAGCUAGUUGGUAGGGUAACGGCCUACCAAGGCGAUGAUGCAUAGCCGAGUUGAGAGACUGAUCGGCCACAUUGGGACUGAGACACGGCCCAAACUCCUACGGGAGGCAGCAGUU